UACGUAGGGUGCAAGCGUUGUCCGGAAUUAUUGGGCGUAAAGAGCUUGUAGGCGGUUUGUCGCGUCUGCUGUGAAAUUUCGGGGCUCAACCCCGAACUUGCAGUGGGUACGGGCAGACUAGAGUGUGGUAGGGGAGACUGGAAUUCCCGGUGUAGUGGUGGAAUGCGUAGAUAUCGGGAGGAACACCAGUGGCGCAGGCGGCGUCCUGGACCGGCACUGACGCUGAGGAGCGAAAGCGUGGGGAGCGAACAGG
rnacentral:rRNA from 1 species